rnacentral:rRNA from 1 species
CGCGAAGCCGGGUGAUCUAUCCAUGGGCAGGCUGAGGCAGAGGUAAGACUCUGUGGAGGGCCGAACCCACUUCGGUUGAAAACGGAGGGGAUGACCCGUGGAUAGGGGUGAAAGGCCAAUCAAACCCGGAGAUAUCUCGUUCUCCCCGAAAUAGCUUUAGGGCUAGCCUCGAUCGCUUACCGACGGUGGUAGAGCACUGGAUCCGUGCGGGGGCCUCACCGCCUACCAACCGAAACCAAACUCCGAAUGCCGUCGGUCCCGAGAUCGGGAGUCAGAACAUGUGGGCUAAGCCGUGUGUUCGAGAGGGAAACAGCCCAGACCGCCUGCUAAGGUCCCCAAAUCAACGCUGAGUGGCAAAGGAUGUGCGUUUGCCUAGACAACCAGGAUGUUGGCUUAGAAGCAGCCAUGCAUUUAAAGAGUGCGUAACAGCUCACUGGUCAAGUGGACAUGCGCCGACAAUACACGGGGCUAAGCGUUGUACCGAAGCAGCGGACUGUUUUAUCAGUGGUAGGGGAGCUUUCCAUGCCGGGGCGAAGCCGACGGGCGACCGUCGGUGGACCGCAUGGAAGUGAGAAUGCUGGCAUGAGUAACGAGAGAGGGGCGAGAAACCCCUCCGCCGUAAGCCUAAGGGUUCCUGGGCAAGGCUAAUCCCCCCAGGGUCAGUCGGGAGCUAAGGCGAGGCCGACAGGCGUAGCCGAUGCACAACAGGCGGACAUUCCUGUACCACCGCGGAGCGUUACUACGACGGGGUGACGGAGAAGGGUAGCCGGGCGGGGUUCUGGACGUCCCCGUGAAAGCGCGUAGGCCGCAGGGCAGGCAAAUCCGCCCUGCAGCGAGGCCGAGACGUUAGACGAAGCUUCAUGUGAAGCCGGCGAGCCCAUGCUUCCGAGAAAAACCUCUAAGGAGCGAGGCGGUGCCCGUACCAAAACCGACACAGGUAGGCGGGUAGAGCAUACCAAGGCGAUCGGGAGAACCAUGGUUAAGGAACUCGGCAAAAUGACUCCGUAACUUCGGGAGAAGGAGUGCCCCCGCCUGUGAGGUCCCACGCGGACGGAGCGGGAGGGGGUCGCAGCGAAACGGCCCAAGCGACUGUUUACCAAAAACACAGGACUCUGCAAAGCCGCAAGGCGACGUAUAGGGUCUGACGCCUGCCCGGUGCUGGAAGGUUACGCGGAUGAGUUAGCGCAAGCGAAGCCCUGAAGCCAAGCCCCAGUAAACGGCGGCCGUAACUAUAACGGUCCUAAGGUAGCGAAAUUCCUUGUCGGGUAAGUUCCGACCUGCACGAAUGGCGUAACGACUUGGGCGCUGUCUCAACCAUGGACCCGGUGAAAUUGUAUUAUUCGUGAAGAUGCGAAUUACCUGCGGAAGGACGGAAAGACCCCGUGAACCUUUACUGCAGCUU